UGUGACUGUGAUUCGACCAGAGAUCCGAACAAGCUGAAGAAAACCGGAGCAUAAAAGCCGAUGAUGGAGGGGUUUGGAGGAGUCCAGAUUAACCAAGAAAAAAGUGAUUUCUUCGCUUCCCGCCUGCCCCUGCCACCGAGGGUUGAGCGCAUGGCAGAACAAGUCGCCUGCUGUCUCUGGGCAGGAAGUUCCCACCCACCAUUAGGGGAGGGCUGAUCCUGGAGAAUUAAUUUGCUAACAAAUUAAUUUGCUCCUCCUGGGCCCCAUGCUUGAGUGGAGA
rnacentral:lncRNA from 1 species